rnacentral:lncRNA from 1 species
UUUUAAAACUAUAUUUUUCAAGUGCUUAUAACCAAACAAAUUAUGUAAAGUUGUAUCACUCUAUCACGGACACAAAAAUUAACGGCUAAAAAUGAAUAUCUUUUAAAAAAUGAUGGGGGGUAUUUUAUAAUCAAGAUCAAGAGUGUCGAUCUUAUUUUAAAUAGUUUAAAUAUUUCUCUAGUCAAAAUUCAACUAAUUUGGAUAUCUUUACGUCAAAACGUUUUAUAUCGACCAUUAAAAUUAUAAAUUUUGUAACCCUUUGAUCACCAAGUCAAUGAUGACAAAAAGAUUUGAAAUUUAAUUUUUAAAUAUUUCAAGUGGCAUAGAUCAUAUUCAAUGAUGUCGAUCGUCGAUUUAGAGUCUCCAUCAUUAAAAAUAAAUGAGCGACAACGGAGUUUGUUUGUUACCAAUACCAAUAGCAUUCCAACUCAAUUCCAUAUAAUUGUAACUUUUUUCUUUU